rnacentral:rRNA from 1 species
UACGAAGGGUGCAAGCGUUACUCGGAAUUACUGGGCGUAAGGCGUGCGUAGGUGGUUUGUUAAGUCUGUUGUGAAAGCCCCGGGCUCAACCUGGGAAUGGCAAUGGAUACUGGCAAGCUAGAGUGCGGUAGAGGGUAGUGGAAUUCCCGGUGUAGCGGUGAAAUGCGUAGAGAUCGGGAGGAACACCAGUGGCGAAGGCGGCUACCUGGACCAGCACUGACACUGAGGCACGAAAGCGUGGGGAGCAAACAGG